UACGUAGGGGGCAAGCGUUGUCCGGAAUCAUUGGGCGUAAAGAGCGUGUAGGCGGCCCGAUAAGUCCGCUGUGAAAGUCCAGGGCUCAACCCUGGGAUGCCGGUGGAUACUGUCGGGCUCGAGUCCGGAAGAGGAGUGUGGAAUUCCUGGUGUAGCGGUGAAAUGCGCAGAUAUCAGGAGGAACACCCGUAGCGAAGGCGGCACUCUGGGCCGAUACUGACACUGAGGAGCGAAAGCCAGGGGAGCGAACGGG
rnacentral:rRNA from 1 species